rnacentral:lncRNA from 1 species
AUAUACUUUAAAAUCUAACCUAUAUUUGUUAGUAUAUACGUAUAUGCAUAUAAGUUUUAUUAUUCAUUCUAAUUUAAAAUUAAUAAAAUUUUUGGUAUAUUAAAUUUAAUUUACUUCAUUAUUACUAAAAUAUAAAUAUUCUGGUAAAUAUGCUUAUAAAAAUUUUAAAUAAUUGCUUACAAAGAUUAUUUGAAUAAUUAAUAUGAAAUCAUUAUCUUUUAAUUAAAAUAUUUUUAAAAAAAUAAAAAUUUGUAUUUAACAUAUUAUAACAUUUUUCUUCUACAUCUACGUCUUCAGCAAAACAUUUACCCUCAUAGUAACUCUGGUUUCUCUUCUUCUCCACCCUUCCGCGGCCACGUUCCCCGUCUUGCUUUUUCCCAUUCCCACUCUCUACCCCCUACC